UCCCGGUUGGCCCGGGCAGUCUCGCGUGAAAAAUACAACACGCGACAAGGGUUGCGCUCGUUGCGGGACUUAACCCAACAUCUCACGACACGAGCUGACGACGGCCAUGCAACACCUGUCACUGGGCUCCCGAAGGCACUCCCCUGUUUCCAGGGGAUUCCCAGGAUGUCAAGCCUCGGUAAGGUUCUUCGCGUAGCAUCGAAUUAAACCACAUGCUCCACUGCUUGUGCGGGUCCCCGUCAAUUCCUUUGAGUUUUAGCCUUGCGGCCGUACUCCCCAGGCGGCAUACUUAUCGCGUUAGCUUCUCAGCACAGGGGGUCGAUACCCCAUACUAAUAGUAUGCAUCGUUUACGGCGUGGACUAC
rnacentral:misc_RNA from 1 species